rnacentral:rRNA from 2 species
GAUGAACGCUGGCGGCGUGCCUAAUACAUGCAAGUCGAGCGAACGGACGAGAAGCUUGCUUCUCUGAUGUUAGCGGCGGACGGGUGAGUAACACGUGGAUAACCUACCUAUAAGACUGGGAUAACUUCGGGAAACCGGAGCUAAUACCGGAUAAUAUUUUGAACCGCAUGGUUCAAAAGUGAAAGACGGUCUUGCUGUCACUUAUAGAUGGAUCCGCGCUGCAUUAGCUAGUUGGUAAGGUAACGGCUUACCAAGGCAACGAUGCAUAGCCGACCUGAGAGGGUGAUCGGCCACACUGGAACUGAGACACGGUCCAGACUCCUACGGGAGGCAGCAGUAGGGAAUCUUCCGCAAUGGGCGAAAGCCUGACGGAGCAACGCCGCGUGAGUGAUGAAGGUCUUCGGAUCGUAAAACUCUGUUAUUAGGGAAGAACAUAUGUGUAAGUAACUGUGCACAUCUUGACGGUACCUAAUCAGAAAGCCACGGCUAACUACGUGCCAGCAGCCGCGGUAAUACGUAGGUGGCAAGCGUUAUCCGGAAUUAUUGGGCGUAAAGCGCGCGUAGGCGGUUUUUUAAGUCUGAUGUGAAAGCCCACGGCUCAACCGUGGAGGGUCAUUGGAAACUGGAAAACUUGAGUGCAGAAGAGGAAAGUGGAAUUCCAUGUGUAGCGGUGAAAUGCGCAGAGAUAUGGAGGAACACCAGUGGCGAAGGCGACUUUCUGGUCUGUAACUGACGCUGAUGUGCGAAAGCGUGGGGAUCAAACAGG